rnacentral:miRNA from 1 species
GCCUCAUUAAAAUAUUUCUGA